GGGAAAGCCUUCUUAUAUUAUUAAUAGUUUGUCCUUGUAUACUGUGAAUAUCUUUGAAAGCCUUCUUAUAUUAUUAAUAGUUUGUCCUUGUAUACUGUGAAUAUCUUUGAACUAUUAAGACAAGAAGUCUCUGCCCUUGUUGGACAAACUUCCUCUUAAAAUAAACAUUUGUAUGAAGAAUCUAUUGGUAUAAAAGAAUAUUUUUUUCUGUUUCCAAACUGCAACAAUUUAGAGAUUUUGCUUCUGUUCCUUAUUUUUCUGCUUAUGGUAAACAGGUCCUUGGCUAUAUGCUAUGAAUUAUUAACUUCAUUAAGUACAAGUAUCUUUUUCUUUCAAGGAUAAACCAUUUAAUUUCAAAGUAUGAAAAGUCUGUCCAUCAUCUAUCAAUAGGAAAACCAGGGACUUCAUCUUCAUAAUCUCUUUUUAAAAGCUUGAAGUUUUCAGCAGAAAAAAAAAAGGAAACUAUGUAUUUUUGCAACACUUGUGAGAAAAACUAAUUAAGGAAAAAUGUUCUUAGAAUUUUGGCACAAACAUACAUACUAUUUCCAGGCAUAUAUAUAUUUAAUCUACACUUAUUUCUGUUGCUUUGAACCUCCAUAACUUCUGUAAUAUUUCAUCGCAUUCACUUUUCAGAUUUAGGGUUUUGUGGGAGCUAAUUUAGUAUUGAUUCAUUCUGCCACGGGGCAUAAACUUGAUUUAAGCUACAAAUUUUUGAUUUGAAACAUAUUAAUGAAUAUGAAACAUUUUGUCUCCUUUAUUAAUCAAGAGGUUUCAUAAUUCUGCCCCUUGUAGCAAUUAAACUUUUUUUAAUUUAGAAAUUGAUUUUGAAUUCAUAAGCUUAGCAGUUCAUUGUCGUAAUUUUAUCAGUGCAAUAUAACGAGCACCAGAGAGAAUACAAAUGAGUUGUGAAAAUUAAAAGGAAGUAGGUAUUAUUCUGAGAAUUGAGGAAGUAAUGAAGAAAGGAAGGAGCUCCUUGAAAAGGCUGAGAAGAGAAACAUCACUUUAUUAGACACCUUGAAAAUGAAACUUGCUGCUGAACCAAAACAUUAAAGACAGCAGUAUCUCAUCAACAGAAGACUUCAAGGCAAAGGAAAAUGAAAUGUUUGGUUACUUUCACACGUAUUUUUCAGCAGGAUGUGAAGGAUACUUAGUCAGUGUAUCUAAAAUCAAGAAUUUCUGAAUCUUUAUUCUCCAUUUUGCCAUUAUGAUGUGCAGAACUUCCACCCAGCUUGUCACAUUUCUUUAUGCAGAUAGGCCAGAAUUUCAGGGGACUAUAUUUGACACUAUGUGAACGUGUACGCUCAGCAGCUUUUACAGUAUUACUGUUCUUUAAUCCUUUGACGUUAAUUCUCAGUUAAGUUUGGUCCCUCGCGUAGAGUGAGGGCCAGUAUUGAUCUCAUUUUUUUCCUAUCAGUUAAAGGGGAAAUGAAAACUAACUUUCUGUCUUCAGUUUUCAAUAUUCAUUUCUUUCAGCAUUGCUAGUAUAACAAAGGACUCUGAUGCUUCAUGUUUCCUGUGUGGUGCCAGAUACAGAGACCUUAGAGAUGGAACACACACUCUAAUUCCUACAGCUUCUACCAAAAGAGAAAAGGAAAUCCCCCCCAUAAUGUGAGGAAUCAAAAUGUGGAGAAAACAGCAUCUUUCUGCAGCUCCCCUGCUAUCUUCCUCACACUCCAAAGUGAAUAUUUGACCUAUGUGAUCAGGAUCAAUUGAGGCAACAAAUUGUAUUCUGAAAACACCAUUUUUGAGCUUCUGUUUCCCAUUCUUCCUGCCCCCUUUACACCAGCAAUGAACAAAACAAGGGAGGGAGAGCAUAGAAAGUGCUUUUUCUUUGUCAAGCCAGGGCUAUUAACUGACUUGCUGAAGACAUUCACAAGAAAGCCUGAAUGACAUGCAAGUGUCCCCUGAAGAUGGACUACUGCUUUGAUGAGCAAUGAAGAAAGAUGGGAGAGGAGAGCUGAGUUCAUAGUUUAUGAGGUGUUCAUGACAGCGACAAGAAAGAAGGUAAUAUAUCGGGACCUGGAAGAAGGAUUUAAGGUCUCAGCUACAGAUGUCCCUUGACACUCAACCAGUUUCACUGCCGUGCCAUGGAGCUGUGACACGUAUCAGAUCAAAUUCUGCAAACUCUUCCAGAAGCCCUGUCAUGUUCAGUAAGGCUACUCGUGUGCAAGGUCUUGUAGGAUCAAAUCAAGGCAGUAAAAGGUGAUGGAGAAGAAAUGUGUCAUGAAGGAAUAGUCUCAACACAGAGUAGCAGGGCUAGUCUUGAUUUAAGCAAUAUUUUCACUUCUUUCUGUAUAUGAUUAAAAGCAGCAUUUAUACUCUUUGCUACACCUGACAUUCUUUCCUCAGCCUUCUACUCAGCACUUCGAUUCAGAAAAAAGUGUCACUCUAAGCCUGUAUUGUGACGCCACUUCUAAUAACAUGUAAAAGAUAAACUACUCUGUUUUUCAGACUCGGUUUUACCCCCUUUCUAAAAUUCAGAAAUGAAAAGAAUUAUUUAUCUGAAAACAGAUGAUUGUAAAGGUGUGUUGGAUAGGAACCAUCAGGCUAGCCCAGCAUUUCCCCAAAGAGCUAUGUGUUCCUGUAAUACUUGUAAGGAAUAGCAGCAUAAUCAUAAGACAUUCAAACAGACAUAGUUUUCAAAUGUUUUUAUUUUGAGAAAUUAGUGUUACAUAUGACAGUUUUCAUUCAGCAAAGCCAUGCAUCUUUAAACAUUGUAUAAUUCCAUAAAUAUUGAUAUUUAAUUAUUUUAACAGAAUCAUAACAAGGAGAGAGGUAUUUUUAGGUCAAACCUUGAUUAUAAGACAUAUAAUAAAGCUAAAAGCAUUAGAAUUAUUUUUAAGUAAACUCUUUUAGGUUUUCAAGACACCAUAAUUUUAGCAGUUAACCAGGUUUUUCUUUACAAACUUUUUUUUUUUUUUAAUCAAUAAAAUAUGACACUGAAAGCUGCUGCAGGACAGAAUAUUUGCAUCAUUGAAUAAGGUCUAUUCGAGGAAUUCUGAAACAAAUCAAAUGUUGUAAACCUUACAUUUCUACUCUGACUCACCUCUCCCACUGAUUGCAUAACCUAGGCAGAUGAGCCAGCUACAUUAGCCAACUAACCCAUACUUAAUUCAUGAAAAAACAGUCUCUCUUCUUCAGCUAUACUUCUGGAAAUACUUAUUGAUUUUUUUUCUUUCUUUCAACAAAAACAAAAUAUAACCCUAAAUUUAAAUCAGCAUUAUAAGUUUAGGACCUUUCAUAUUGCACACUGGAAAUUCAUGGAAAUUCUACUCUCUACAUAGGGAUUUAUAAAGGGGAAGAGAUGCAGGGGAACUCCCAGUACAAUGUUCUUUCAUUUCACUUGCAGAACAUUUCACUCUGUAGAUUCUUUCUAAGUUGCAAGAAUAUUUCAUGAAACCUCCAUGGCAUUGAUGAAAAACAGAUGUGCAUAAAAACUGUACUGUAACAAAUGUCUUUGUUUUCAGCAGCUGAAGCUAUUCUUUAAAAAAAAAGAAAAAAUAUGUGUUGAUGUAGGAACAUUAAAAAGAAACCUUUAUGGUUCAGCAUUUAUCACUUACAAGAUUCAUGUUUGUGCAUUUCACAUAAUAAUAAGUUGCUUGUUUGUAAUUUAAAAUUUAACCUCUUUAAGAAGCUAUUUUUCUAUCAAAGAGUUAGAACAAUUUCACUGUGUACAAUCUUUUCUUUGUUUAACAGUCUCUGAAGAAAACUGAAUCCCCAAUUAAUUUCAUAAAGUUUAUGUGCUUAAUGGUUUCACAGAGCUGUGUUCUCUUUGAACAAAACAAAGUUGACUACAUAGAAUUUUAUUGCAUUGGAGGAACGAAAAGCAUUGUAAUCAGUAGGAAACAUGACUGCAACACAGCAGGCACAGAGAAAUUAUAUUUCACAUCUUUUAUUGUCAGA